UCCAGCCUGCCAGUGACACAUGUUCAACGGCCGCGGUAUCCUAACCGUGCGAAGGUAGCGUAAUCACUUGUUCUUUAAAUGAGGACUAGUAUGAAUGGCACCACGAGGGUUUUACUGUCUCCUCUAUCCAAUCAGUGAAACUAAUCUCUCCGUGAAGAAGCGGAGAUAUACCUAUAAGACGAGAAGACCCUAUGGAGCUUUAAAUUUCCCCUCAGACGCCAGGUUUCUUAAACAAGUUACUAACUUUAUUAUAAUUACCUUAACGUUAUGAGGGUGACUUUUAGGUUGGGGUGACCGCGGAGCACAAAUUAACCUCCAUGUUGAAUAGGCCUCUAAACCUUGAGCAAAGGGCUACGACCCUGUGCACUAAUAGAUUAACACCCAUUGACCCAAUAUUCUAUUGAUCAACGAACCAAGUUACCUAGGGAUAACAGCGCAAUCUACUUCAAGAGUCCCUAUCGACAAGUGGGUUUACGACCUCGAUGUUGGAUCAGGGUGUCCCAGUGGUGCAGCCGCUACUAAUGGUUCGUUUGUUCAACGUUAAAACCCUACGUGAUCUGA
rnacentral:rRNA from 1 species